GACGAACGCUGGCGGCGUGCCUAAUACAUGCAAGUCGAGCGAACUUUUGGGAGCUUGCUCCUAAAAGUUAGCGGCGGACGGGUGAGUAACACGUGGGCAACCUGCCUAUAAGACUGGGAUAACUUCGGGAAACCGGAGCUAAUACCGGAUAAUUCUUUUCUACACAUGUAGGAAAGCUGAAAGACGGUUUACGCUGUCACUUAUAGAUGGGCCCGCGGCGCAUUAGCUAGUUGGUGAGGUAACGGCNCACCAAGGCAACGAUGCGUAGCCGACCUGAGAGGGUGAUCGGCCACACUGGGACUGAGACACGGCCCAGACUCCUACGGGAGGCAGCAGUAGGGAAUCUUCCGCAAUGGACGAAAGUCUGACGGAGCAACGCCGCGUGAGUGAUGAAGGUUUUCGGAUCGUAAAACUCUGUUGUUAGGGAAGAACAAGUACGAGAGUAACUGCUCGUACCUUGACGGUACCUAACCAGAAAGCCACGGCUAACU
rnacentral:rRNA from 1 species